AUGUUCGACAUUGCCCUUUGACGUGGGGAUCAGUACUUUGUCAUGUGUACACUAGAGCUGGCUCAGUGGUGGCAUAAUGUGUAUUCCAUAGUGCAAACUCAGAAGUUGGGUCACGUAUGCCAUAUAGUAGUGACUCAGUAGAGGUAGGAUGAUACAUCCAGAAUGGAAGCUAAGUAGUUGUGCUAAGCCUGCUGUAGAGCACUGGUUCAGUGUGUUCUGGUAAGAUGUGUGUUCUAGAAUACAGGAUCAAUACUGUGUGACAAUACUGUCAUCACAUUUCCUCCAGAGUUUAGGCACU
rnacentral:sRNA from 1 species